rnacentral:rRNA from 1 species
GAUGAACGCUGGCGGCGUGCCUAAUACAUGCAAGUCGAGCGAACAGACGAGGAGCUUGCUCCUCUGACGUUAGCGGCGGACGGGUGAGUAACACGUGGAUAACCUACCUAUAAGACUGGGAUAACUUCGGGAAACCGGAGCUAAUACCGGAUAACAUGUUGAACCGCAUGGUUCAACAGUGAAAGACGGUUUUGCUGUCACUUAUAGGUGGCUACGCGUCGCAUUCGCUAGUUGGUAAGGUAACGGCUUACCAACGCAACGAUGCGUAGCCGACCCGAGAGCGUGAUCGGACAGACUGGAACUGAGACACGGUCCAGACUCCUACGGGAGGCAGCAGUAGGGAAUCUUCCGCGAUGGGCGAAAGCCUGACGGAGCAACGCCGCGUGAGUGAAGAAGGUCUUAGGCUCGUAAAACGCUGUUAUUCGGGAAGAACAAAUGUGUAAGUAAAUAUGAACGUCUUGACGGUACCUAAUCAGAAAGCCACGGCUAACUACGUG